rnacentral:rRNA from 1 species
AACGAACGCUGGCGGCAUGCCUAACACAUGCAAGUCGAACGAGACCUUCGGGUCUAGUGGCGCAUGGGUGCGUAACGCGUGGGAACCUGCCCUUAGGUUCGGAAUAACUCCCCGAAAGGGGUGCUAAUACCGGAUAAUGUCUUCGGACCAAAGAUUUAUCGCCUUUGGAUGGGCCCGCGUUGGAUUAGCUAGUUGGUAGGGUAAAAGCCUACCAAGGCGACGAUCCAUAGCUGGUCUGAGAGGAUGAUCAGCCACACUGGGACUGAGACACGGCCCAGACUCCUACAGGAGGCAGCAGUGGGGAAUAUUGGACAAUGGGCGAAAGCCUGAUCCAGCAAUGCCGCGUGAGUGAUGAAGGCCUUAGGGUUGUAAAGCUCUUUUACCCGGGAUGAUAAUGACAGUACCGGGAGAAUAAGCUCCGGCUAACUCCGUG